CUGCAUCCAGCUGCCUCUUCCACCUGGGCCCUGCUCUCAGAUGGAAGUGUCACCAAACACCCAGAUCGCCGUGCUCCUGCUUCUCUGGGUAAGCACUUACAGAGGCUACACAGGUGCUUGCCAGGUUACGUUAGGCUGUGCCUUCUUUCCUUGUGGCCCAUGCACAGGCCUCUGGCCAGCUCUGUCCGGGUGGCAGCUCUCCUGGUGUCCGGCAAGCUUCCUCUGCUCGGACUCUGCCAGUCAAAGCCCAGCCCUGGCUCCUGGAGUCUGCAGUGCAAGUGGCCUCAGAAGCCCAGCCUCCCUCUGCAGCUGAACCCUGCAGCCCUUGUGUGAGAGUGGACACAACCUGAAAACCAACUGGACUGAGCAUCCUUCUCCUAAAAUCUCAGCCAGAAGCCACGAUGGAGGGUCCUGGGAAGGGAAGAGAUGUGAAGAUUUCUGUGAUUCUAAAACCUUGGGUCUGCCUGCAAACUUCUCUCUGAUCCCAGCCGAGAGCUGUGCACACGCUAGCUAGCCCUGUCACACAAUAGCCCAGUGUUCCCGUCACAGUGCCUGGGAAUGAGAGGCUUUUGAGGCCACAGAGCUAUGACAAGUCCCCAGGUUGAAUUGACUCUGGGAGGACAAAUUUCUGAGAGACUCACGGGACCCUUAUCCAGGACAACCUCACAAAGAUCCCUGAAACUGAGCUUCCUCUGCUUCGUGCAUAGUUUGAGGUAUAAACUUUCCUUGUGUCUCGGUCAGAUGAAGUGAAGGAUGAAUAUUAUCCCAGGCUAAAGUAACGAAAAGUCCAGAAGCCAGCGAUGACAGAGAUGUGUGUGGAAGAAGGCUGUGAGCAUUUCCAUCAAACCCUGUGAGUUUCCGAAGAUCUUAUCCCGAAGAUAUGUGUUUGGCCAAUAAAACACUGAAUAAAAAUCCA
ensembl:lncRNA LINC02765 long intergenic non-protein coding RNA 2765